AUUGAACGCUGGCGGCAUGCUUUACACAUGCAAGUCGAACGGCAGCGCGGGCUUCGGCCUGGCGGCGAGUGGCGAACGGGUGAGUAAUGCAUCGGAACGUGCCCAGUAGUGGGGGAUAGCCCAGCGAAAGCCGGAUUAAUACCGCAUACGACCUGAGGGUGAAAGCGGGGGACCGAAAGGCCUCGCGCUAUUGGAGCGGCCGAUGUCGGAUUAGCUAGUUGGUGGGGUAAAGGCUUACCAAGGCGACGAUCCGUAGCUGGUCUGAGAGGACGACCAGCCACACUGGGACUGAGACACGGCCCAGACUCCUACGGGAGGCAGCAGUGGGGAAUUUUGGACAAUGGGGGCAACCCUGAUCCAGCCAUGCCGCGUGCGGGAAGAAGGCCUUCGGGUUGUAAACCGCUUUUGUUCGGGAAGAAAUCCUCUGGGCUAAUACCCCGGGGGGAUGACGGUACCGGAAGAAUAAGCACCGGCUAACUACGU
rnacentral:rRNA from 1 species